GGCGCUCCUCUGGCUGUUCAUGAAGGGCCGGCAGCCCAGCGUCCACACGGCGUUGAACACGGUGUCUGCCACCGACUCGCAGGCUGGGGACAAGGACAGGGCCAGGCAGGGAAUGCCAGCCGGGGAGCCCACCUUGGACCUUGGAGACGAAGCCGAGGCUGCGCUUGAGGUCGGAGCAGAUGGAGUGGAGGCACCAGCGGAACUUGGCGUCACAGCGAUGGUGAUGCACUGCCACGUUUUGCAAAUAGUUUCUAUUCCUUUAAUCCCUGCACCUCCCUCACUCUGCUUCUUAAUAUGCAUAAAGGAGCAAGAAUUCCCUCUAUGAGUAAUUAUUUACCUAAUGCAGAAAGAGUCCAGCAAA